rnacentral:sRNA from 1 species
UAUAUAGCGAUGGUGCAUUAUUCUAGUCAUACUCAGUUUAUGAGGGUGGGGCUAAAAAUCCACUAAAGGGCAUAUCGAUGAAGUUUCUUGAAUGUGCGCGAAACGCCAAGUUUGUGUGUGUUUAGGGAGUAAAGAGGUUAGGGAAGUAUGUAAUGGCAUACAUAUGUCCCCUGGUUUCGCGGAGGCUUGAAUUAGAUUUAUACAUAAUUUGAGAGUAACCUGUGAUGAGUGCCAAGACACAAAAAGCACAGAGUAGCCUGUCUUGAGUGAAUGUAUUGGGAUUAAAUAAUUAGUAAAUUAUGUUUUGGCCAAAUAUAUUUUACUGUACUUAUGAAAUUUCAUUUGCAAAAAAGACUAAUAAACUUGUAAAGUAUGUGAAGGAAAACUUCUAGAAUGUUUGCUUCAUUUAGAAGCAUAGAGGUCUAUGGAUUAAGGUACAGAUUUAAGUGGCUAUCUGGUGUCUAUUUUAUAUAGAUAUUUCUUUUAAACGGAAACGGCAAUAGCAGUAAUGCUAUGUAGGAAAUAGAGAAAUUCGACCAGACCUAAACUGUAAAAUUUACUUAGACUUUUGCCAUCUUAAACUAAAA